UGAUGAGUUGAGAUCGGGAGUCUUGGGUUGGUGUCAGAACAGGAAACUUGGGACCUUUUAUACCCUUAUACAGAUUCUCAAAAAGAAUAAAAAAUGACUAGAAUGACCACUAUUGCUUCUGUGGUCAGCUCCUAGUGCAGUAUGGAAAUGGUAUACUUCCUUGGCUUCUACACCCAAAACAUUGUUGUAACAUGUUCUCUUGAACAUAUUUUGAAAUAGGAUACUUCGGUUUAUACUAUCUGAGUAUAACGACGACGGCGUCCGAUAAAAAUCGACCAAAUGCUGUGGUCUAUAAUAGUUAGAAGGACAUAGCUGGGCUUGCCAGCAUUUCCGCAAUGAGGUUUGUAACUUCUUGGGUUUCAGCAAGCUCAAACGGCUGCGCCAAAUGCUAGGUCAACCAGGUACCAAGUCAAUAGCCAAGGUUUCUCAAAUAUGCUUUGGCAGCUCUGCACAGAAU
rnacentral:lncRNA from 1 species